AGUGAACGCUGGCGGUAGGCCUAACACAUGCAAGUCGAACGGCAGCACAGUAAGAGCUUGCUCUUACUGGUGGCGAGUGGCGGACGGGUGAGGAAUACAUCGGAAUCUACUUUUUCGUGGGGGAUAACGUAGGGAAACUUACGCUAAUACCUCAUACUACCUACGGGUGAAAGCAGGGGAUCUUCGGACCUUGCGCGAUUGAAUGAGCCGAUGUCGGAUUAGCUAGUUGGCGGGGUAAAGGCCCACCAAGGCGACGAUCCGUAGCUGGUCUGAGAGGAUGAUCGGCCACACUGGAACUGAGACACGGUCCAGACUCCUACGGGAGGCAGCAGUGGGGAAUAUUGGACAAUGGGCGCAAGCCUGAUCCAGCCAUACCGCGUGAGUGAAGAAGGCCUUCGGGUUGUAAAGCCCUUUUGUUGGGAAAGAAAAGCAGCAGGUUAAUACCCCGCUGUUCUGACGGUACCCAAAGAAUAAGCACCGGCUAACUUCGUG
rnacentral:rRNA from 1 species